rnacentral:rRNA from 1 species
GGUGAGUAACACGUGGAUAACCUACCUAUAAGACUGGGAUAACUUCGGGAAACCGGAGCUAAUACCGGAUAAUAUAUUGAACCGCAUGGUUCAAUAGUGAAAGACGGUUUGCUGUCACUUAUAGAUGGAUCCGCGCCGCAUUAGCUAGUUGGUAAGGUAACGGCUUACCAAGGCAACGAUGCGUAGCCGACCUGAGAGGGUGAUCGGCCACACUGGAACUGAGACACGGUCCAG